UCCUCAAUAGUAUAGUGGUUAGUAUCCCCGCCUGUCACGCGGGAGACGGGGUUCAAUUCCCCGUCGGGGAG
rnacentral:tRNA from 1 species